GGAACAGCUUUUUCUAGUUAUUUAUUCUUCCUUUAAUGUAAAUGUAUUUCAUCUUUCUUAUUAGUGGCUUGAUAUUAUUUUUGCCAAAUUUUCACCCUAUCUAUUAUAGGUAUAUGAAUUCCAUACCUGAUGUGUUUCAUCGCUAGCUAAAAGUAACAAGUGGCAUCUUUCUAGAGAGACCAUGCUAUGUUUAGUUUCAUUCUCUGUUUUGACUAUAGGUAUGUGUCACACUAAAAACAAUUUAUACUGGUUUUUAAAUCUGAGUAGCUGGGCACACACUGUACUUAAGUUUUGUGGUUUGCAGAAAUGUCUGUUAGCCUUUGUGGGCUUGAAACUCAAAUAGAAAAACAUUCAAAAUUAAACUUAGAAGAAGAAAGGUGUGUUGACAUAAUGAAAGGAAUGGACACAUUCAUAGAGUCUAGACUCGGAAAACUGUUUUUACCCUUGUGUAAUUAUGGUAAGAUUCUGACUGCGAAAACAGAAUGGUAAUUAAUUUUUACUGGGAUGCAUUAUUAAAAAGAAUGGUUCCGAUAAGAUUAGUUGCUAAAUCUAUUAUGUGUUUUUAAAUAAUGUGGCAGUAUGCCCUGCUGGCCCUGAACGCACCAUACAGGUGCCUGAAUCUAAUUGGUUGUGGUGUUGUCUGUAUAUAAAGGGCCCUCCCUCACCUGGCAGACAUGUUCAGACCUUCUGGUUCAGACCUCGGCGUUUGCUGGUGCUGCAUGCCAGCUGCAUACAAAUGCACGCAUGAAAGACUGACAUUUAUCUCAGACCAAUUCUUCCUGUGGUGGCCAGUACACUGUUUGAUUCCCCUCCCUGCCUGAGGCACUACACAGAGCUCAGGGACGCUGCUGUUUGUCCUUGGCUGGCUGUUUGCCAGACUGUUACUCCGAGCUGCCGCUCGCCUGCUACCUUGGGUAUCCGUCGUCUACUGACUACCCGUCAACCUGGUUGGCGUAAAGCUGGCUCCUGGCCCUCUGUGGCUGAUUUGGGCUGGUUUGCGACCAGCUCUACUGAUUCUUCUGGUGCUUCUCUGGGUGGUGUGAGCUGUGGUGUGGCCGCGUGCCCCAAGACGGAUUCUUAAUUGUAACUGCUGCUUCAGUUGUUGUGGACUAAACUGUAUCACUUAAUGCAUGUCAUUUGAGUGUCUAUUGUAUUUUUGCCAGGAACAGCCAGCUCAUGGUGUUGGCGGUGGACUUUCCGGGUGGUGGUACUUUUUGGUUUGGUACAUGAUUUUCUUUUAUUUUUGUUUGCUGUGUUUCUUUUGUAUGCCACCACCCUGAUUUGGACUGCCACCUAGAGUGAGCCAAACUGUCCUUUUACUGUGUGAUUGGUUUUAAUGUGGUAUGUUUUAUCAAACUGAACCCAAAACAAUUGUGCAAUAAAUAAAA